GUAGCUGUUGACGAAGAAACAGAGUAUAAAACUCAGUUUUUGCUGUUUGUUACAUUCUUUCGAAAAGUGUGUGUUUCUUCUUGAACCUUGAGUAAUUUCUGUGUAAUUCUCAGUUCAUUCUGUUUUUUUUUCGUUUUAGUGUUCAUUGUGUUUAGAUUCUUUCUUUCUUCAGUCCAGAAUCUAUACCUUGGACUACAAGCUAUUGUUUCAUGAACGGUAGUUUGAUAUCAUAGAGAGAAACAGAGUUUAUCUCUAUCAACCAUCAGGGAGAAAGUUCUGAAAACAUCAACCUUUAGCACUUUCACCGUUAAUGCAGUCUCUUUCUUUAGCUUCAAAGUUGAGGAGGCCUAAAAUGCAUCAUCAUCACCAAGAAGACUCUCAACAAUGCUCUGUAGAGGUGUCUCUCGAUGCAAAGCUUCCAAAAUUUGUCUGAAAAGGGGCAAAGGAACAGCUUUUAGACUCUUCAUGAUGAAGAAGACUCUCAGAACAAUGAGAAGAACAUUGCCUUCAGGACGCGUAAGUGUUCCACUUGCUGUUGCGUGGACAACUGUUGCUGGUACUUGGGUGCUUGUUUCCGUGGGAUUAUUGUCUCAGUUAUAAGAGAGAUUGUGAAUCUAAU